rnacentral:rRNA from 1 species
UGGGGAAUUUUGGACAAUGAGGGAAACCCUGAUCCAGCCAUCCCGCGUGUGCGAUGAAGGCCUUCGGGUUGUAAAGCACUUUUGGCAGGAAAGAAACGUCAUGGGUUAAUACCCCGUGAAACUGACGGUACCUGCAGAAUAAGCACCGGCUAACUACGUGCCAGCAGCCGCGGUAAUACGUAGGGUGCAAGCGUUAAUCGGAAUUACUGGGCGUAAAGCGUGCGCAGGCGGUUCGGAAAGAAAGAUGUGAAAUCCCAGAGCUCAACUUUGGAACUGCAUUUUUAACUACCGGGCUAGAGUGUGUCAGAGGGAGGUGGAAUUCCGCGUGUAGCAGUGAAAUGCGUAGAUAUGCGGAGGAACACCGAUGGCGAAGGCAGCCUCCUGGGAUAACACUGACGCUCAUGCACGAAAGCGUGGGGAGCAAACAGG